UAAUCGUGGUCCCGCAAUGGUUCCCCGGACGCUUGAGCGCGAGGGGAUCAAAAGGGAACACGGUGCGGCGUACCCAUAAGGGACCAAAUCCGUGGCUGCCCCCGCAACUGUAAGCGGUGGGCGCUCUCAUGCGUCACUGGUCGAUCGCAAGGACCGGGAAGACGAGAGCGCUGCAUUCACCGUGAGCCAGGAGACCUGCCCUUGCCCUGAGCAAUCA
rnacentral:ncRNA from 2 species